AGCUCUCCUCCCCCGCUUCCUUCCCUACCCUUGCAGCCGCCGGCGUCCCUUGCCACUGGGAAAUAGCAGCCUGUGCGGAUCCGGCCGCGGCUGGAACUUUCCCCGGGUGUUGCCCUCGAGCGAGGGGACUCGGACAUGCGGCAGCCGGCGCGGCCAGAUGGCGGUUGUUGGUGGUGGACGAUGAUCGUGGUUGCUGAGGGAGGCCGCCUCUGUAGCAGUGGGGUGUCCUGGUGUGGGCGCCAGGCCCCAUCUGGUUGAGCUCGAUUCGCUUGGUCCGGCCGCGAUUCGGCGGUGCGGCCUCCUUUGCAUCUGUCGGGCGCAACGGUAUGUUGAUGUGGCUGGGAGGCGCAGUGCGGCACCAGGCGUGACCUUACGCUCAGACACGUCCGCCUAUUCCAGGUAUGUGAUUGUGCUCGCCGUUCUAUUGGUACAUGUUGACCCUCGGGCGCUGUCGUCGGCAGCCUGCCGAGUCUGGUGGCGCCAAGCACCUGGAGUUCUUCGCCAUGGACAUCUCCGCGAGUUCAAACCAGACUCUCCUGCCUACCUUUGUCACCAUGAGCGGCCGCCUGCUGUCGUACGCUUCCAGCUACUACAUAUUAUCAGAAUUUUGCUUCUAAUUGAUGUGAAAAAUAUGUGUGAGCAUUCAGACAAAAGGAUCAGGCAUGUUGUCCACCUUGAAAACAAAAUUAGAAGAAUCAGUAUGUAUGUUGAUGGACAAUUGUUCUGGCAAAAGAUGUUUGACUGACAAACUAAAGCUAGACAUCGGCUGGACAAUCUGUGUAUAAGUCGUACAUGCAGCUUUCUUGGUGUGUGGGCGAUGGAAGUGUACAAAAGAACAUGCAGAAAUCAAGAAAUGAUGAUCAGUUCCUUCAGUGGUCAUAAACGACUAAAAGGUUUUGAUGAUGUCGUCAGUAAAUGAAUGCAAAGGUGUAUACUUGAACUUUGGCAUGACAUACCAAGAUUGCUAGAUAAUUCCAACUGUCAAGUUCAUUAAAUGGAAAGCAAAGUACAUUGUGAACCCCUUUUUGCUGAGAGUUGUUCCUCAAUGUCUCUGCCUUUCAGACACAAUUGUUUUUGUCGACCCUAAACUUUUUAGGGAACUCUGAAAUGGACCUCUUUCUGUUUUUUCCUCAAACCCCAUAAGUUUGAAAGAAGAUCAAAUUUUCGUGUGCAAUGAAGAUUCACUGUAGUUUUUGUCAUAGCCAGCUGAAAGAAUAUUAGAUUCCCGUACUCAUUGCCUCUUUUUUGGGUCUUUAUUGUCUCCUUCUGUCUGGUUCAGAUCAUAUCUUUUUUUUUUCUGGUGAUUCUGGUUAGGAUGGGUUGAUCAGAUGUAGCACUAGAAGUAGCAAUGUUAGUUCCACUACUUUUGGUCUGCCGCUUUGCCUUCUCUCACAACCUGGGGACACAUUGUUGAAUUUAACAUACUUGAAUUUUCUGAUCGAAAACGAACCUAUACUACUAUUUUUGUACACCAUACAGCAGCAGUUCAAAACAGUGUUUAGAAAAUUUCUUCCACAAAAGUGCUUUCAGUAAAAAGCACCAAAAUAUUACACCAAAUAUAAACCCUUAAGAAUAUUUAGCAUUGAAUAUGGCUCAGUUAGUUGUUAAUUACUCAUUUCUUCUAGGAUAGGAUCUCUAUUGAAAGGGUAUAUGACUCGACAAUCAUUACUCCAUUUUGAAAUUUUGGUGAGCCUGAACUCUUUUGAAUUGUUUCGUGAUGACAUAAACUCUUGGUACACAGAAAGUUCACACCAUACUCUCUUUGUUUUCAGUUAUUCCACUUUUAAUCCUUAGUUACAGAAUAGCCAGUGCAGCUCGAUCGGUCUUAAAUAUCGGUAUGAGUUUUACCAAGACCAUUGUCAUUCUCAUGACAAUUACCAUUUUUCUUUUUAGGGAACCUCGCCUUCUGCUACAUAUCGGUUGACACUUCAAAUUUGGUAAAUCGGAGUACUUUGCCGGUUUCCAUGGUCAACAAUAAUACUUAGAAGAUCAAAUCUAGCUGUUAGUAAUAAUUUCCUGUAUUCCAUUUCCUUUUGUGCUUUGCCAAAUUUACUCAUAUAUGUCUGUGUUCACUAUAAAUCAUGCAACCCUCUAACUCCAUAUUCAAUGCAUGGUCUUUGUCCUACAGCUGCCGUAGUUUUAUAUGUGCCACUACCAGCUGAAAGAUUCCAUGUGGAAAAAGGUAGGUAAGAUGCAAAGCAACCUACAUUAUUUGAAGACCAGUGUUUCUUAAUAUGCAGGGUCGAACGAUUGUCUCUCAAGCCUUUUCCCAAGCCACUUACUUUCAUGUUGCUCCCAAGUCAUGUAAUUUUGGCAACCUUCAAAAUUUUAAAAUAAAUUCCCAUGGAUUAAUCAAAUCCAGUGGAUAGCACACCACUUUGUAUAUGGGUUUCUUUUCCUAGCACUAGCUUUUAUAUAUGCCCAUCCCAACGGUAUCCUGAUGUUUAGAGAUAUUAAAACAUAAGCUUACAUGUGUUCUUUGAAUUCAGCGAAUGAUGUAUCAAUUUGUUUACAAUAUUCUUUUCCUAGCAUAAGCUUUAUAUGUGUUAGUUUCUCUCCAUUGCCCAUCCCAAUUUUUAUGCUUAUCUUAAUAUAUAUGUAACCUUUAGUUAUAAUUCACAGGCUUGAGACUGCACUUCUCCUGUUGGCCUGGAAGUGAAUAAAUAUUCGUUAUUUCUAUUGUAAGUCUCAGAAAGAUAGGUAUGUAACUUUUUGAGGAAAACUAGGUAUAAAGCAGCGUAUGUUUUUAUGCUUGGUGCCUAUUGUAUCAAGUCAUCCCAAGCAGCAUUCGUCGAAAAUAGGAAGUCAACCAAGCAACAUUCCUCGAAAGAAAGGAAGUAAUCCAAGCAGCCGUUUCUUAACUCUUGCAACAGCAAGAAGUCAUCCAAGCAACAUUCCUCAAAAGAAAGGAAGUAAUCCAAGCAGCCCUUUCUUAACUCUUGCAACUUCUGAUAUUCAAAAGUGACAUUGUAAUUGUCAGUUUGAUAUUUCUC